rnacentral:rRNA from 1 species
CCCAGACUCCUACGGGAGGCAGCAGUGGGGAAUAUUGCACAAUGGGCGAAAGCCUGAUGCAGCAACGCCGCGUGAGCGAAGAAGGUCUUCGGAUUGUAAAGCUCUGUCCUAGGGGAAGAAGAAAAUGACGGUACCCUUGGAGGAAGCCCCGGCUAACUACGUGCCAGCAGCCGCGGUCAUACGUAGGGUCCAAGCAUUAUCCGGAGUGACUGGGUGUAAAGAGUUGCGUAGGUGGCAUAAUAAGUAACUAGUGAAAUCUGGUGGCUCAACCAUUCAGACUAUUAGUUAAACUGUUAAGCUCGAGACCGUUAGGGGUAACUGGAAUUUCUAGUGUAGGAGUGAAAUCCGUAGAUAUUAGAAGGAACACCGAUAGCGUAGGCAGGUUACUGGGACGGUUCUGACACUAAGGCACGAAAGCGUAGGGAGCAAACGGGAUUAGAUACCCGGGUAAA